rnacentral:rRNA from 1 species
GACGAACGCUGGCGGCGUGCCUAAUACAUGCAAGUCGAGCGCAGGAAAUCGACGGAACCCUUCGGGGGGAAGUCGACGGAAUGAGCGGCGGACGGGUGAGUAACACGUAAAGAACCUGCCCUCAGGUCUGGGAUAACCACGAGAAAUCGGGGCUAAUACCGGAUGGGUCAUCGGACCGCAUGGUCCGAGGAUGAAAGGCGCUUCGGCGUCGCCUGGGGAUGGCUUUGCGGUGCAUUAGCUAGUUGGUGGGGUAAUGGCCCACCAAGGCGACGAUGCAUAGCCGACCUGAGAGGGUGAUCGGCCACACUGGGACUGAGACGCGGCCCAGACUCCUACGGGAGGCAGCAGUAGGGAAUCUUCCACAAUGGACGAAAGUCUGAUGGAGCAACGCCGCGUGAACGAAGAAGGCCUUCGGGUCGUAAAGUUCUGUUGUAAGGGAAGAACAAGUGCCGCAGGCAAUGGCGGCACCUUGACGGUACCCUGCGAGAAAGCCACGGCUAACUACGUGCCAGCAGCAGCCGCAG